CACGUAGGGCGCAAGCGUUGUCCGGAAUUAUUGGGCGUAAAGAGCUCGUAGGCGGUCUGUUGCGUCUGCUGUGAAAACCCGGGGCUUAACCCCUGGCUUGCAGUGGAUACGGACAGACUAGAGGUAGGUAGGGGAGAAUGGAAUUCCCGGUGUAGCGGUGAAAUGCGUAGAGAUCGGAAAGAACACCAACGGCGAAAGCACUCUGCUGGGCCGACACUGACACUGAGAGACGAAAGCUAGGGGAGCGAAUGGG
rnacentral:rRNA from 1 species